UACGAAGGGGGCUAGCGUUGUUCGGAAUUACUGGGCGUAAAGCGCGCGCAGGCGGUCUUCCAAGUCAGUGGUGAAAGCCUGGAGCUCAACUCCAGAACUGCCAUUGAAACUGUUAGACUUGAGUACGAGAGAGGUGAGUGGAAUUCCCAGUGUAGAGGUGAAAUUCGUAGAUAUUGGGAAGAACACCAGUGGCGAAGGCGGCUCACUGGCUCGUAACUGACGCUCAGGCGCGACAGCCGUGGGGGAUCAAACAGG
rnacentral:rRNA from 1 species